rnacentral:rRNA from 1 species
AGCGAACGCUGGCGGCAGGCCUAACACAUGCAAGUCGAACGAACCCUUCGGAGUUAGUGGCGGACGGGUGAGUAACACGUGGGAACGUGCCUUUAGGUUCGGAAUAACUCAGGGAAACUUGUGCUAAUACCGAAUGUGCCCUUCGGGGGAAAGAUUUAUAGCCUUUAGAGCGGCCCGCGUCUGAUUAGCUAGUUGGUGAGGUAAUGGCUCACCAAGGCUACGAUCAGUAGCUGGUCUGAGAGGAUGACCAGCCACAUUGGGACUGAGACACGGCCCAAACUCCUACGGGAGGCAGCAGUGGGGAAUCUUGCGCAAUGGGCGAAAGCCUGACGCAGCCAUGCCGCGUGGAUGAUGAAGGUCUUAGGAUUGUAAAAUUCUUUCACCGGGGACGAUAAUGACGGUACCCGGAGAAGAAGCCCCGGCUAACUUCGUGCCAGCCGCCGCAGUAAUAC